GACGAACGCUGGCGGCGUGCCUAACACAUGCAAGUCGAGCGAAUGAAGUUCCUUCGGGAAUGGAUUUAGCGGCGGACGGGUGAGUAACACGUGGGCAACCUGCCUCAUAGAGGGGAAUAGCCUCCCGAAAGGGAGAUUAAUACCGCAUAAGAUUGUAGUACCGCAUGAUACAGCAAUUAAAGGAGCAGUCCGCUAUGAGAUGGGCCCGCGGCGCAUUAGCUAGUUGGUGAGGUAAUGGCUCACCAAGGCGACGAUGCGUAGCCGACCUGAGAGGGUGAUCGGCCACAUUGGGACUGAGACACGGCCCAGACUCCUACGGGAGGCAGCAGUGGGGAAUAUUGCACAAUGGGGGAAACCCUGAUGCAGCAACGCCGCGUGAGUGAUGACGGCCUUCGGGUUGUAAAGCUCUGUCUUCAGGGACGAUAAUGACGGUACCUGAGGAGGAAGCCACGGCUAACUACGUG
rnacentral:rRNA from 1 species